rnacentral:rRNA from 1 species
CCUACGGGAGGCAGCAGUGGGGAAUAUUGGACAAUGGGCGAAAGCCUGAUCCAGCAAUGCCGCGUGAGUGAUGAAGGCCCUAGGGUUGUAAAGCUCUUUUAUCAGGGAUGAUAAUGACAGUACCUGGAGAAUAAGCUCCGGCUAACUCCGUGCCAGCAGCCGCGGUA